UCGCUUGUAACUGCUGGGCUUUGCGUUCCUCGCUUGGCGUGGCGUCGCUUGGCUGGUACUGGCUUGGCCUUCCUGGCUUGGCUUGGUGCUUACUCUUUGGACAGUUUGGAAACUGCAUUUCCUGCUUGGAGGUGGUGGCUGAGGUGUUCCAUUCGUUAGGAGGCUCCUGAGGCUGUGAAAAGCAGGUGGGGACUGAGGUUUCUAAGAAGCCGACGGCAUCUGCCUUGAAGACCUCUGGCUUUGGGAGCAAGAUGGGCAAGUGGUGCUGCCGCUGCUUCCCCUGCUGCGGGAGGAGCAGCGAGGACGGCGUGGGCUCUGGAGCGGAGCACAGUGACAGCGCCUUCCUGGAGCCUGGGUACGACGUCUGCCUGGAAGAUCUUGGUAAUCUCCACAGAGCUGCCUGGAGGGGCAAAGUUCCCAGAGUGGAGCUCAUCCUCAUGCUCAGGGACCCUGGCUUGGACAAGAGAGACAAGAAGAAGAGGACUGCUCUACAUUUGGCCUGUGCCAAAGGCCAUCCAGAAGUGGUAAAACUCCUGCUGCACAGAAACUGUCAACUUCAUGUCUUGGAUGGGGAAAAGAGGACAGCUCUCAUAAAGGCUGUGCAAUGUCAGGAAGAGGAAUGUGCAACUAUUUUGCUAGAGCAUGGCACUGAUCCAAAUAUCCCAGAUGUCUAUGGCAAUACUACUCUACAUUAUGCCAUCUAUAAUGAGGAUAAAUCAAUGACAGAAAAACUACUUUCAUACGGUGCAAAUAUUGAAUCAGAAAACAAGGGUGGACUUACACCAUUUUUACUUGCGGUACAUAAACAAAAACAGCAAAUGGUGGAAUUUUUAGUAAAGAAGAAAGCAAAUUUAAAUGCUGUUGACAACUUCAAAAGAACAGCCCUCAUACUUGCUGUACGUUGUGGAUCAGAAAUUAUGGUCAGCAUUCUUCUUCAACUAAAUAUUGAUGUCUUUUCUCAAGAUAUGUAUGGACGGACAGCAGAAGAUUAUGCUGUUUCUAGUCAUUAUAUUAAAAUUUGCCAACAACUUUCUGACUACAAAGAAAAAAAUAUACCAAGAAACACUUCUAAACAUAGCAAUCUAGAAGGAACAUCUAAUGAGAUUGUGUGUUUGGCAGAAGGAACAUCUAAGGAAGUUGUGGCAGAAGGAGCAGCAAGUGCAAAAGUGGAUGGGCGUUCUGAAGACUCUGCUAUCAGGUUUUCUGGCAAACAAACUAUUGAUGAUAUAUUACCUACAUCAGAUAAUGAAGACAUUGAUUCUGAUAUCAAGGAUGGAGCAAUUAAGCCAGCAAACGGACAAACACAAAAUGAUACUGGUGUUAUUGACAGUGCCCCACAAGAGUACACAAAUAAUGACAGUUUAAUUUUUGUUGACAAAAACAACAGAAGUGAUACAACACCCACAUCAGAAUCCGGACAAGACAGAGAUAUAGAAUCACUUUUGGAUUCUGAGGAUGGAGCAGCUAAGCCAGCAAAUGGAAAAAGACAAAAUGAUUCAUUGUCCUCAUCAGAAUCAGGACAAAAGGGCAAUAUAGAAUCACUUUCGGAUUCUGAGAGUAUCUCUGAGAAUCUUUCACAGAAGUAUGUUGGUGAAUUUUCUGGGGCUGCAGAACAGAAAGGAAAAAUUACACUAAAUGAACAGCUAAGAGAGUCUCCUGAGAAAUAUCUUCAUUUGAAGCCCAUUCAGCCUACCAUUGAAAUGAAACAUUCUGCUUCUAAUAAAGCAGUAGAAAUGAAGGAUGUACAGACCUCCACAUCAGAUUGUUGCCUCCAAGAUGCGGCAGUGGAGCCUGAGGGCUCAGAAGAAGCCACCGUCCAUGGCACAUCCACGGUCCACCAGGGCAGUUUUAGAGAGAGAUUGCUCAGGCUCUGGCGUCAUCGUCGUGUGCACCCUUGCAGGCAGCCAUCUGAAGACGGACUCAGCGGUUCAGGCAAGAGUUUCCACGGAGGAUCCAGUGAAGGAACUUAACAAGGACGACAAGGAAAAGGAGACCCCAUGUAAUGUGAAGGCAGCCUCGGGAGUCCAGGACAAUGAUGACCUUUUCCAGAAAGCCAGAUCUCUCCUGCCUGUGCCACAGCAAACACCAAAGCCCUGCAUUUUGGGGGUGGGGGCGGGUAGCAUCC